AAUUGUGUAAUAUUUGCUGAAAGGAGCAAAUUCAUUGGUUCUGAUUGCUCCUACAAUUACGGCGGUCCUUGUGGACAGCCUAGUUUGCUCCUACAAUUACGGCGGUCCUUGUGGACAGCCUAGUUUGCUCCUACAAUUACGACGGUCCUUGUGGACAACCUAGUUUGCUCCUACAAUUACGGCGAUCCUUGCAGACAACCUGACAUGGCAUCUCCCUUUUUAGUCUUCUCCUUAUCAACACCUUCAUUCUGCAUUGGAAAAUCAUCUCUUAUAUAUAAAUGCU
rnacentral:lncRNA from 1 species